UCCGUAGGUGAACGUGCGGAAGGAUCACUAACACAUCGAUCUAGGAUCUUUGAAUAAUCGCGAAAUGCGAGUGCUUUUUGCCAGACACGGUGCAGGCCCCAAAACCCGGGACACUCCAUCAUGAUUUGGUUGUUUGAAAAAUUCAAAAAAAGCCUCCAAACAAACAAGUUCUGGGUUGCAUGUAGCAUGUUGGCUGCUGCGACCGAGGACGACACGUUUUUCUUCUUUUCAAUAUUUAUUUGAUCACCGGCCAUGAACGUUGGAACAUGAAGCUGAAACGGUGAGAUGCCUAGCUCUUAGCAGCGCGGUGAUCUUGCUGAAGAAACCAAUUUUUCAUAUACAACUUUCAGCAACGGAUGUCUAGGUUCCCACAACGAUGAAGAACGCAGCGAAAUGCGAUACGUCAUGCGAAUUGCAAAACCUCGUGAACCAUCAAAACUUUGAACGCACAUUGCGCUACCGGGACUCGUCCCGGUAGCAUACUUGUCUGAGUGUCAGUGAACCUAACUCGGCGUGACAGCGACGCAAGGCCAACACUUGGGCUUGGGUCUAGUCAUGAGCCCGAUCUAUGGGGAUAUAAUGUGCUCGUGAUCGCAGAUGGCGAUCGGAGCUCCCUCCCAAGUUUCCAGUAGAGAUAGUAAUGUUAGGAGUUGCUCCCGUUCAGGAACACCUUUGCUUUCAGUAACAAAUUUUCCUACUUUUGAUACUGGUAUCGCCGUACCUUUUGUGGAAAUAUCGGUUUGUUGUUGCAAGCAUUGCGAGUUGCUGCCGGGGAUGGAACUUGGAACAGACUACUGAUCAAGUCUGGACUGACUAAAAAGAAAAAGCAUCGCAUCACAAAAAAGUUGCAAUGCUUGGCUUUGACUUGGUCAUACGACACCUCUCCUUUCAGAUCUCAGCUCAAGUACGAGCACACGCCGGGUUUAAGCCUAUCAAUAAGCGAGGA
rnacentral:rRNA from 1 species